GAUGAACGCUGGCGGCGUGCCUAACACAUGCAAGUCGAGCGAAGCACUUUGCUUAGAUUCUUCGGAUGAAGAGGAUUGUGACUGAGCGGCGGACGGGUGAGUAACGCGUGGGUAACCUGCCUCAUACAGGGGGAUAACAGUUAGAAAUGACUGCUAAUACCGCAUAAGACCACAGCACCGCAUGGUGCGGGGGUAAAAACUCCGGUGGUAUGAGAUGGACCCGCGUCUGAUUAGCUAGUUGGUAAGGUAACGGCUUACCAAGGCGACGAUCAGUAGCCGACCUGAGAGGGUGACCGGCCACAUUGGGACUGAGACACGGCCCAAACUCCUACGGGAGGCAGCAGUGGGGAAUAUUGCACAAUGGGGGAAACCCUGAUGCAGCGACGCCGCGUGAGCGAAGAAGUAUUUCGGUAUGUAAAGCUCUAUCAGCAGGGAAGAAAAUGACGGUACCUGACUAAGAAGCACCGGCUAAAUACGUGCCAGCAGCCGCGGUAAUACGUAUGGUGCAAGCGUUAUCCGGAUUUACUGGGUGUAAAGGGAGCGUAGACGGAUGGGCAAGUCUGAUGUGAAAACCCGGGGCUCAACCCCGGGACUGCAUUGGAAACUGUUCAUCUAGAGUGCUGGAGAGGUAAGUGGAAUUCCUAGUGUAGCGGUGAAAUGCGUAGAUAUUAGGAGGAACACCAGUGGCGAAGGCGGCUUACUGGACAGUAACUGACGUUGAGGCUCGAAAGCGUGGGGAGCAAACAGG
rnacentral:rRNA from 1 species